CAGCCACAUCACGUUCAAACACUAGUUUCCAUACGAUCGCCGAAGUUAAGCAACGUCAAGCCUGGUCACUGCGUAGAUGGGUAACCUCUUGAGAAUAUCAGGUGGUGUAA